AAGAAUUCAAUGAGGCCCUGCCAUCAAAGUCGGCUUGUCAUAGAUCAUUGCGAAGCUAUCACAGCCAGCUUUGAUGAGCACGGCCCCAUGUGUAUGUCC
rnacentral:pre_miRNA from 1 species